UGGAAGGCUUGACUUGGUGGAACUGCAUGCAGCUGUACAGGAGACAGGCAUCUCACUCAGCAAUGAAGUCUGUAACCUGAUGGCAAUCAGAUACAGCAACGCUGACUUGCAGAUCAGCUUUGAGAGCUUUGUCUGUUUCAUGCUUCGAGUGGAGAUCAUGGGAGAGGCCUUUCGCAACUUAACGCAAGAUGGCAAAGGCAUAUACCUCCAGGAAUCUG
rnacentral:lncRNA from 1 species